CCUAUGCAAAACCAAACAAGCUGCCUGGUAAACAGCAGUGCACUUCUGAAGGCACGUCUUCGGCAUAUGUACCAUCCCAUUUUAAAAAGUAAGGUCCAGCUUUCUAUGAGCUGACAAAUUUCCAGGUUUUCCUUUGUGUACUGUGUUUUACAUGCCCGCCAUACAAUCAGCAGCUCCUGGAUUUGUGGAUUUAUUGGCUGUGACCAGACACAGGCUAACCCUCCAAAAUAUCUAACUUACUACAACACACCACCAAGUCAACAAAGGGAUGGAGGAAAACACAUCUCAGAUGUGCCAAGCACUUCCCUGGGAUCUGAGAGGAUCUGAGACCAGAUGAGAAUCUAAAAGUGGGUCUCCCUUUCCCAGUACAGGUGGAUACAGUACAGAGCAGCAGGCAGGCAGCCCAGCCCUGGAAACUGUGCCCUGUGCUGUUUGACAUGCACAGUCAGAGGCACCAAGCACACCCCAAGCCUGCCAGCUGGCUCACGCUCCACAAGCAAGUGUAAACAAAUCAAUGAGGAGGGACAAACAGAGGCAAGCACCACAAUGCCCAACAAUGCUGUUCAAGGGAUCUUUUCUCAGGUUACGAUUUUCUGGCAUUAUCCCUUGAGCUGAGCUUCAGCAGUUGAAUCGCUGCUGAGCCCAAGCGCAGCUCGGGAGCUACAAAUCACAGCCACACUGGGCCAGAGGAAAGAACCGAGUCCACCAUUUGUUGUGGAUGCCUUUGACAAGCUGUGUCAUUUUUCCUGUUCAUGAGUCACUCACCAGGAGACUUUAUCUUUUCUAAUGCAUUUACUAUCUAUAAUUAUAGUUGCAACAUUUAUCCUCCCAUACAAGAAAAUGUUACCAUGCCUGAACAUGACCAGGAGGAGCUGUGUCACAGGCCAGGAGGUAGGAGGUGAUCUGCCCAUAACCACUAUGGCCACAGGAGAACACGCAGGUUUCAGCUCAUCUUCUGGCACAGCAGAGGAGAGCUCUGUGUUGCUAUUUAUUUGCUAGUCACUAUUUUAUUUCUGCUCCCAAACCAUGAUUUACUGACUGAAGAUUAACUAUUCCAAAAAGUUUGCGCAAGCAGGCAACCCAGCCUUUUGUGCAAACAUCUGUGGAUAGCCAUGAAAUGAAUAACUUGGGCCCAACUGAGCAAGGAGUCAAAAUAUUCACACACUUUGGCUAAGCCCAGAAGAGCAGAGCCAUCCUUCCCCUGGCUGCCCUGUCUCCUGACCACCUUCAGAGCCUUGUGAAGCCCACCAUGCCACUGCACUCCUGAGGACAGCUGCUCACCCAGAAUCACGGCUGCUCCAGACUCUGUUUCUAAUCCUCCUUUCUUUACAGAUUAACAAAUUAAGCCUUAAUAGGGUUUAAACCUUUCCCAGCCAUAAAGCCCAGUACUGGAUUCAUCACACCAUUAUAGCUCCCUCCCUACCGACGUAGCUCCAGGGUAGAUGGGGUGCUAAAUCUAAUCAAACAACCAAACAAGAAGAUGAUGUUCUUAACUGACCAAAAACUGGUAAAAAAUCCAAGCUACAUUCCUUUAUGUAUAUAUGCAGUCAGUUCCUUUUGCAGGCGUGUGCAUUUGGGUUUUGUUAUUGUCCUCUGUUAUGCAUCUUCUCAGCUAGUGGAUUACAUCUAUACGCAAGACAUACACCUGAAAGCUCCACUUGCAUGCACUGUUGCAUGUUCAGUUUAUGCUGCUCAUGACUAAAUAAUGUAUGUGAACAUUUCCUCAUCUGCACAGCCUCUCUGUGGAACACCCCAAGUCCCUUGUGUAGGUCUGUGUUGGACCUUUAACAGACUACAGUCAUCCAACUUAAUCUGAUUUCCAGCUGCUUAUCAGUCACUACCUAAGGACCUCACCACCUCAGCUGCACAGCAGCCAUAGCCAGGCUUCCUAUUUUUCAGGCUGGAUAGCACUGCAUUAGUUUACAGAUGCCAUUUGGAAAAAAGGAGAACUGGAAGGGAUUGCAAAGUGGUUAUGUGAUCUGACAACUUGUGCAGUGUCCAGGUGAAGCUUCCACAACUGACAUGAAUCAAAUCUCCUUAUAAAAUCAUAUUUUUAUAAAUAAAUCUCCUUAUGAAAUACCGUAUUUUGGUAUUUUGCCACUCUGACCCAGCGUUUAGCCACACAGAUUACAGGAGAGAGGUUCACAUUGUUCAACCCUUUGUUGCUAAAGCCUGUUGUGUGUUUUACUCAAGGAUCACUUGAAUCCAAGGUGUGCCCUUUCAGCCUUGGGAGCCCAGGUACAUGAUAGAAAGGGGGACCUAAUAUUGCAAAAUGAAAGGGAAGGUUAAAACUGUGGAUUUUAAUAGAGAAAAAUAAUAUUAUUUCAAUACAUACUGGACCUGUUUCAGUGGCAGUCAGUGGGAAAGGACAGCCAGAACCCCUCUAAAACGGGCUUUGUCACAAAGGAAACUGUGCAGGGCUCAGCCUUCAUGCCAUGCUCUGGUCCGCUCAGUAUAAAUGCCAUGACUGUGAUAAGGGUAAUGAUUAAUACGAGCACAGUGAUGCCUGCACAUCUGUGGCCGUGCAGGCACACAGGCUUUGGCAGCAGCUUCAUGGAGAUUUUGAUUACGCAGCAAACGGAAGAGCCAGAGGAGGAAAGUAAGCAGACCUGGAUUCAGUGGGUUUGCUUAGUGUGGCUUCCCAUCCUAAGAGAAGUCUUUAACAAGGACAAGGUCCUGAGCUCUUGAUGUGCUAGCCUUCCUCCAGUGGCUGUAUAGGGAUAGUUUAGACCAACUGCUUUGAAAAUAGAAGGAGUCAGAGAAAAUUAACCAGGCCAUUGAUAAAAUGCUACUUUCUUCCUUUUGAGGUGGCAGUUCCCCUUUUCUUCUGAGGUCUGCUUUAGGACAGGAGAAGGCUUUGAAAACACUUCCCACCUUAUACAAUCCUUGACAUGUGAGCAAAAGCACUUUGUUGUUAGGUGGUGUUAGGUGGCACCAGCCAGCCAGCAAUUGAUUGCCCUCACCGCAUUUCCCAGCUGUCCUCCUGCUCUCGCAGUGCCAGCCCAGUGCAGGUCUUUGGCACAUAAACAUGGUUUGGACUCCAAAAGGCAAUGAACAGGUGAGAGGAGAAACAAUACUACUGAGCUGGGUGGUACGAGCUGGGGCUCAAAGGGUAGUCCCUAGUGAGCAAUUUUGUCCUUCAUGACUCAUACCAAAUUGGAGUGCUAUCGUUGCAUUACACCUUCAUCUGGUACCUUCAAAUCAGCAUAAAAACACACUAUAAAACUAAUAGGAUUCUGUGGUAAUUGUUCUGCUACAAUAAACACGCCUGACA